AUGGAAUCAGAUUUCUGGGAAGAACCCUUUAAUGGGCCUUUCUAAGACAGCAAAUUGGAGAAUGGAUGGCCAAGUCCUCCUCCAGAUUUCAACAGUUUGUCUAAGUCUUUCUUUCUCUCGGCCAUUUGGGUCUCAGCUAAUUGUGAUGACAGAUUAAUGAAGAAGAAGAAGAAGAAGAAGAAGAAUGAUGAAGCAGAGAGGCUUUUUGAAAGAAGGCUUUAGCAAACCGGCAAGUCACAAAACGGCAAAUGGACUCUGUCACGUACCGAGUCCC
rnacentral:sRNA from 1 species